rnacentral:lncRNA from 1 species
GAGAAAUCUGAAUCCAUGAAGUUCAUGUACAUUUUAUCAGCCUAUUUUUCCCCACAAUCUUCUUUGAGCCUUGGCAGUGUUAUGGAUAUUGAUAAUGAUGGUCCAUUUAGGGCUCAUCUUUCAGUCUUUUAUUCUGCCACUUUGACAAAUGAUGCACCUCAGAAUUGACUUUGCCCAUCGCAAAAAGAAGCUUCUCUGACUAUGUCUAUGGAUAUAAAAAUAACUAUUUAGCAGGAAAUGUGAAAGCAGAAGCAUGGAGUAAAGUAAAACAGCAAGCUCUACUCUAGAACUCAUGAGGUCCCCAGGCAUAAGUUUCUGAUGAGGAUUAUGCUAUAAUUCAUGCAUGUAAAUUUUUUCAGUGGAACAGGCCUCAACUUCAUCAUAAAUCCAUUAGUUACUCAUAUAACAGUUGUGCCAACAUGACCCGAGUGCCUGGAACAUCAUCAUUACAAUAUUAUUACAAUAUGCAAGCUUCAGCACUGGGUUAUCACUACAUAGACAAGGAUCACCCACAGAAUACAAGAAAUGGGAGAGAAAAUCUCAGGUGCAGAAGAUACAACUAAAGAAAUCAAUUCGUUGGUCUAUGUCAAAAAGGUUCCUUAUCCAAACUUUCAAAAAAAAAUCUAUCCCUGCGGUCCAGACACUGCCUGGAUCUGAAGGGACCCAGUCAACAGCUUCCUGCACCCAAAUCCCGUGGGAGGGAGAGCUCAACCUUCAGAGGUGCAGACAUGCCUGGGAAGCAAGAAGAGCCUAUACUCUGCUCACAUUUCUGACUCUAGAGGAAAAAACCUAACACCAUCUUGGGCCCCUGUGCACAAGUGCCAGAGGAAAGGCAGAGCAGGCCCUCCUGAUUGCUGCCCUCAUGGAGAGCUCAAACUCAGCACCCCAGGAGCAACUUCAGGACCGGGACCAAAGACAAGAACACAAAGACCGGACGUGUCCUCUACACUUGCUUCCAAUCCGUACAAGCCCAGAAAAGCUCAGACUAUGAGAGAAUCGAAAUCCCCGUCCACGUCGUUCCUCACGUCACCAUCGGGAAAGUUUGCCUGGAGUCCGCGGUGGAGCUGCCGAAGAUCCUGUGUCAGGAGG